rnacentral:lncRNA from 1 species
CCCAAGAUGUGAGCUUUUUACAUAAUGAAAGAACCCAGCAAUUCUGUCUCUUAAUGCGAUGACACUAUUCAUAGACUUUGAUUUUAUUUAUAAGCCACUUGCUGCAUGACCCUCCGAGUAGACCUGUGGCUUAAAAUAAAGAAAAUGCAGCAAAAAGAAUGCUAUAGAAAUAUUUGGUGGUUUUUUUUUUUUUUUUUUUUUUUUUUUUUUUUUUUUAACAUCCACAGUUAAGGUUGGACCAGCUACCUUUGGGGCUGACCCCCUCCAUUGCCAUAACAUCCUGCUGCAUUGCCUCUAAGAUGUAGGAAGAAUUUGGAUCCUCACCAUUGGAAUCUUCCAUCAAACAUAUUCAAACACUAUUGGACCAGGAUUUGAGUCUCUGCAUGACAUAUACUUGAUUAAAAGGUUAUUACUAACCUGUUACAAAUGAACAGCUCUUUGAUUUUAACGGACACCCCAAAAGUCUUCUUGUCUACAUAGUAGAAGACGGCAACACCUUCACUGAAUGUUUGAAUAGAAACUUCUACUAAAUUAUUAAAAUAGACAUUUAGUGUUCUCACAGCUUAGAUAUUUUUCUGAAAAGUAUUUGCCAAAACUGAAAUCCUUCAGAUAUUUUCCUUUGUCCCACUAGUUAUGAUGACUUUCUGUCUGGAUCUUACAGGGAAGGAUACUUUCUUUUUUCUUCCAUCUUUCCUUUUUAUAUUUUUUACUUUGUCAUACCUGCCUGUAUAUUUUAUACACUGAGGGUAGCCCAUUUAUAAAUUAAGAGCACAUUAAAUUCAGAAGGUUCUAACAGGGCUGGUCUUAAGUGAACCACUAUGUAUAUAAAUAUGUUAGAAAACAGCUGUAUACAUUUUUGGGCAACGGUUAUGCAUAAUAUUUACCAGGAGAAUUUUUUUCUUAAAGAGCCAACAUUUAAAAUUUUUUUUUUUUUUUUUUUUUUUUUUUGAGAUGGCAUCUUGUUCUGUCACUGAGGCUGGAGUGCAGUGGUGUGAUCUCGGCUCACUGUAACCUACCCUCCCAGGUUCAAGCGAUUCUCUUGCCUCAGCUUCCUGAGUACCUGGGAUUACAGGCAUACGCCACUACACCCGGCUAAUUUUUGUAUUUUUAGUAGAGACGAGGUUUCACCAUGUUGGUCAGGCUGGUCUCGAACUCUUGACCUCGUGAUCUGCCCGCCUCCACCUCCCAAAGUGCUGGGAUUACAGGCAUGAGCCACCAUGCCCAGCCUGUUGUUGAGUUUUUAAAAUAAGUAUCCUGCAACUUUACCAAACUCAUUUAUUGGUUCUAACCGUUCUUUAGAGUCUUUGGGGUUUUCUAUAUAUAAAAUGAUGUUGUCUUCAAACAGGGACAAUUUAACUGUCUUUCCAAUUUGAAUGCCUUUUAUUUCUUGACUGGGACUUCCAGUCAAGAAAAGUAAAACAGAAGUGACAAGAAUGGGCAUCUUUGUCUUGUUCCUGAUUUAUUUUACAGAAAAAGCUUUC